GACGAACGCUGGCGGCGUGCUUAACACAUGCAAGUCGAACGGAAAGGCCCUGCUUGCAGGGUCCUCGAGUGGCGAACGGGUGAGUAACACGUGGGUGAUCUGCCCUGCACUUCGGGAUAAGCCUGGGAAACUGGGUCUAAUACCGGAUAGGAGCCAUUUUUAGUUUGAUGGUUGGAAAGUUUUUUUCGGUGUAGGAUGAGCUCGCGGCCUAUCAGCUUGUUGGUGGGGUAAUGGCCUACCAAGGCGGCGACGGGUAGCCGGCCUGAGAGGGUGGACGGCCACAGUGGGACUGAGAUACGGCCCAGACUCCUACGGGAGGGAGCAGUGGGGAAUAUGGCAAAAUGGGAGCAAGCCUGAUGCAGCGACGGCGCGUGGGGGAUGACGGCCUUGGGGUUGUAAACUCCUUUCGCUAGGGACGAAGCUUUUUGUGACGGUACCUAGAUAAGAAGCACCGGCUAACUACGUG
rnacentral:rRNA from 1 species